rnacentral:lncRNA from 1 species
CGAGCCUAAUCCGCCGAGCAGCAUCAAUUAGAACCGCCACCCUCAAUCCAUGACUCCCUCGAUUCUUCCCCAUCAACUCAAGCCCUAACCUUUCAGAUCUGGAAUUUGGGAAUUUUGGGAGAAUCAUUUUGGUGUGCAUUUUUUCGUCUGGGGAAUUUUGCUGUUUAUAGUUGUUGUGUUCUUUGUAUAAAUGUGUCUGUUCAAAUAGUUGUGAUUUCUGUU